GCAGACGCUGAGAGAGAACUGGAAAUAAGGCAAAAGCUGAGAGAGAACUGGAAAUAAGGAAGAAGCUGAGAGAGAACUGGACAUACAGCAGACGCUGAGAGAGAACGGAAAAAAGGUAGAGGCUGAGAGAGAACUGGAAAAAGGCAGAGGCUGAGAGAGAACUGGAUAAAGGCAGAGGCUGAGAGAGAACUGAAAAAAGGCAGAGGCUGAGAGAGAACUGAAAAAAGGCAGAGGCUGAGAGAGAACUGGAAAUAAGGAAGAAGCUGAGAGAGAACUGGACAUACAGCAGACGCUGAGAGAAAACUGGAAAUAAGGAAGAAGCUGAGAGAGAACUGGAAAAAGGCAGAGGCUGAGAGAGAACUGAAAAAAGGUAGAGGCUGAGAGAGAACUGGAAAAAGGCAGAGGCUGAGAGAGAACUGGAAAAAGGCAGAGGCUGAGAGAGAACUGAAAAAAGACAGAGGCUGAGAGAGAACUGAAAAAAGGCAGAGGCUGAGAGAGAACUGAAAAAAGGCAGAGGCUGAUUGAGAACUGAAAAAAGGCAGAGGCUGAGAAAACUGAAAAAAGGCAGAGGCUGAGAGAGAACUGAAAAAAAGGCAGAGGCUGAGAGAGA
ensembl:lncRNA